UACGGGGGGAGCAAGCGUUGUUCCGGAUUUACUGGGCGUAAAGGGCGCGUAGGCGGCGCAACAAGUCACUUGUGAAAUCUCCGGGCUUAACCCGGAGCGGUCAAGUGAUACUGUCGUGCUAGAGUGCGGAAGGGGCUACUGGAAUUCUCGGUGUAGCGGUGAAAUGCGUAGAUAUCGAGAGGAACACCUGCGGCGAAGGCGGGUAGCUGGGCCGACACUGACGCUGAUGCGCGAAAGCCAGGGGAGCGAACGGG
rnacentral:rRNA from 1 species